GCAAAUUUCAGACAGACUCCUCUAGCGAUCGGACUCUUAUCAGACUUCUCCAAUAGAAAGCCCCCAUCCAAGCUUCUACAGCAGAUGACUUCUGCCUACAGCAUCAGUGCCCAAGGCACCUGACGACAGUGGACCCAUCAGCAACCUCAAAAAUAUUCGAGCUUCUCUUAGAUUGCAGAGAUAGAGAGCCAUUCCGCUCCAUCAGACGUCCCAACCAAGCUUCAGCCGUCAGGCCCGAACUCUCUGGCAAGUCACGAUAAUGGCCAAUACCUCACUCCACUCUCUGUAAUAGAUUCCAUGUGGCCCCACCACUCUCUGGCAAGUCACGACAACGGACAUCACUCCAUUCUCCAUAACAAACUCCAUGUGAUCCUGAACGGCCCCCUGAUGCCACUACUCUCCAUAACAAACUCUGCGUAGCCCCGAAUGGCCCACUACCAGGCAGUUACAGACGUCGCUGUCAAUCAGUUACGCUCUCCGUCUAUAAAAAGGGAUCUCCAGAUACGUUCUUCUCUAAGCUAAAAACUCUAUCUCGAAACUCUACUAAAAUUCCAUUUGAGUGCUCCAUUUCUAUUGAGGCAGAGUACUGACUUGAGCGUCGGAGGGUCUUGCCGGA
rnacentral:lncRNA from 1 species